rnacentral:rRNA from 1 species
UACGUAGGGUGCAAGCGUUGUCCGGAAUUAUUGGGCGUAAAGAGCUCGUAGGCGGUCUGUCGCGUCUGCUGUGAAAACUCGGGGCUUAACCCCGGGCCUGCAGUGGGUACGGGCAGACUAGAGUGCGGUAGGGGAGACUGGAAUUCCUGGUGUAGCGGUGAAAUGCGUAGAUAUCAGGAGGAACACCGGUGGCGAAGGCGGGUCUCUGGGCAGUAACUGACGCUGAGGAGCGAAAGCGUGGGGAGCGAACAGG